AACGAACGCUGGCGGCAUGCCUAACACAUGCAAGUCGAACGAGACCUUCGGGUCUAGUGGCGCACGGAUGCGUAACGCGUGGGAACCUGCCCUUAGGUUCGGAAUAACUCCCCGAAAGGGGUGCUAAUACCGGAUAAUGUCUUCGGACCAAAGAUUUAUCGCCUUUGGAUGGGCCCGCGUUGGAUUAGCUAGUUGGUAGGGUAAAAGCCUACCAAGGCGACGAUCCAUAGCUGGCCUGAGAGGAUGAUCAGCCACACUGGGACUGAGACACGGCCCAGACUCCUACGGGAGGCAGCAGUGGGGAAUAUUGGACAAUGGGCGAAAGCCUGAUCCAGCAAUGCCGCGUGAGUGAUGAAGGCCUUAGGGUUGUAAAGCUCUUUUACCCGGGAUGAUAAUGACAGUACCGGGAGAAUAAGCUCCGGCUAACUCCGUG
rnacentral:rRNA from 1 species